UCUUCAAAGCCGUCGCGAAGCGGUCAUUCAAGGAACUGCGCAGGUUCGACGCCCGCGGGCUG
rnacentral:tRNA from 1 species